UACGUAGGGUGCAAGCGUUGUCCGGAAUUAUUGGGCGUAAAGGGCGCGUAGGCGGGAUGGCAAGUCAGUCGUGAAAUCUCUCGGCUCAACCGAGAAACGUCGGCUGAUACUGCCGUUCUUGAGGGAUGCAGAGGAGACUGGAAUUCCCGGUGUAGCGGUGAAAUGUGUAGAGAUCGGGAGGAACACCGGUGGCGAAGGCGGGUCUCUGGGCAUUUCCUGACGCUGAGGCGCGAAAGCGUGGGGAGCAAACGGG
rnacentral:rRNA from 1 species